AAGGCCCCUAUUCCCUUCACAGAGCUACAAUUCUCAAGGUGGUUGAACAAUCAAUCAAUUCACAGGGAACUUUGGGAACUGUAGCUCUGAGAGGGGAAUAGGGGGCCA